CUCACUCGCACAGCUUAAGAGAGAGAUUCAAAGUGGGCACGGAAUAAGACUUGGGUGAAUGGGAUUACAGAUACAUGAUACUUCAGGGCAGGAUCAUAGACUUGGAAUAAACUGUACAUUUUCGAGGGAGAAUAACGUGGGAGACAGUAUUAAAGGCUUGGUUGCAGCCAGGCAGACAACAUGCACAGACUUUCCAUCAUCCCUUAGGCAGCCCUUCUUAGGGAUGGGUGUCACAGUGGCCAACUUCCAUUCUUCUGUGAUUUCCCUGGAAAGCCAGGACUGAUGACAAAUAUUGGAGAUCAGCUUAGCGAGCUCUUUCAACAGCUUCCUCACUACGUUUGGAUGAAUCCCACUCCGUCCCAUAGACUUGAAAAGAAGACCUGGAAGCCUCUGGAGAUCCCAAGUUUAGGGGAACCCUCUUACAGAAAAUUUUCUUUCAUGCAAGGAGAUACUGACAGAUGCAAGGACCCUAAUGUUACAACACAAAAAGGAGGAGCAACACAGUGAUGUGCACACAAGCCAUGGAUGGAUCUUCAUCUAGUCUGCAUACUCCAUUUUUCAUAGUGGAUGACUGCUGUGAAAACAUUUUAAAGAAAUUAAGAUUAUGUAACUCUGGAUCUGCAACAUAUUCCAGCUCAGAGACACACUUCCUACCCAUCUUAAAUUCUGAGUGCUAUUUCAACUGUGCUGUGCAAGAUAUAUACUGUGCUUAAUCCUAAAUUUCAAUUGAUGCUGUUCUGCAUUAAACGGACCUUCAAUUUCUCCUUAAAGACUCAUUUCAAAGAUGAAUAUGGCAACUGUUGAAAUAAAUUCAAGUCUUACUUUUA